rnacentral:tRNA from 1 species
GGAGGUAUAGCUCAGUGGUAGAGCAAGUGCUUAGCGUGCACAAGGUCCUGGGGAUUUAACCCCCUGUGCCUCCA